rnacentral:rRNA from 1 species
CCUACGGGAGGCAGCAGUGAGGAAUAUUGGUCAAUGGCCGAGAGGCUGAACCAGCCAAGUCGCGUGAGGGAAGACGGCCCUACGGGUUGUAAACCUCUUUUGUCGGGGAGCAAAGCGAACCACGUGUGGUUCAUUGAGAGUACCCGAAGAAACAGCAUCGGCUAACUCCGCGCCAGCAGCCGCGGUAAUACGGAGGAUGCGAGCGUUAUCCGGUUUUAGUGUGUUUAAAGGGUGCGCAGGCGGAGGUGCAAGUCAGCGGUCAAAUUGCGGGGCGCAACCCAGUACUGCCGUUGAAACUGUAUCCCUUGAGUGCGCGAGAAGUAUGCGGAAUGCGUGGUGUAGCGGUGAAAUGCAUAGAUAUCACGCAGAACUCCGAUUGCGAAGGCAGCAGACCGGCGCGCAACUGACGCUCAUGCACGAAAGCGUGGGUAUCGAACAGGAUUAGAUACCCGAGUAGUC